AGUUGAAGAGCUGUUGUGGGUAACUAUGACUACAGAACUCUCAGCAGAUGGGGAUGUUAAGACAUGAUUCAAUCUAAUUCAGGGCCCCUGAUACCCCUCAGGUCAAGGACAAAUCUACAGUUUUAUACAGCACAAUCACUGAAUGGAAUUCUUUACUAACUCACAUUUUUCAUGCAAAAAGUAAAUCCACCUUCAAGAAAACAAUAAAAGUACAUCUAAUGUGAUCGACCAUAUUACUGCACAGAGACUAGAGAGCAUCUACUGAAUGUUAAAUGUAUUACCUGUCAGGUAUUUGAAUUGUCUGUAAUGUCUAAUUGUUAAAUGUUUGUAACGUCUUAAUGACAAUUCUAAUUGUUUGUAAUGUCUUUUUAGUUCUGUGUUGGACCCCAGGAAGAUUAGCUGACGUUAUGGUGUCAACUAAUGGGGAUCCCAGAGUCAAAUUGAGGGUUGAUCUCUGAGGACAUGUUUUUGCCUUAGGAGAGGGUCAAACAAUGUGUACUAUUAGCUCUGGAUCAAGUCAGAGGGUUAUUGAAGCAGUUUACAAACGAUGAAUCAUAAUUGUUACUGCAGGCGUAUGCAAAAUCAUUUAGUUUAACAAUUUGGAAUGGACAGUUCUUGCAUUAUUGCAGACUAGGGCCACGUCCUCGGCUUUCCAAGUAUUGACCGCACUGCGGUUUUAUGGAUAACAAAUAAAACAGACAUUGGAGCUGACAGCCUUCAGCGGGACUCCACUUCUUAUUUAUCACCUACAAGUUCUCCAGAAGGGCCACACUUUAGUCCAGAAUCCAGUUCUGUAUGUAUGCACACAGCCAGUCCUAAUUCACCCCUUCUUCUUGGACUCUAACCCGCUAAUGUCUGCAGAUAUGUAAGGUGGAAGCAAUAUGGUGGAAGCUUCACCACUACACUGCUUAUACCUAUCCAUACACUACAGCUCUGCUAACGUUAAAGGGUUGGGUCCAAGGGGGAGGGGUAGGGAGCGAAUUGGGGCCAGCUGACCCAGUUGGCGUGUGUUGUUGAUGUUACGGACUACCUGUCUGCUGAGAUCUCCGCCCCCAAGCAGAAGAAGUUCAUCCUGGUGACGUUCGUGGACAUUCCGGGCCUGUUGAACGGGGACAUGGCCUCCCUUUGAUGUCAGCUGCGCUAUAACCUCAUUUGGGGAGCAGGCGGACCUGGUUUUGUGUUCUUCGACCCCAUGGGCCAGGCGCUGUGCAAGCGCACGCUCAACAUCGUGAAGAAACUUAGCGAUAAGAUUGCGGACAAGCUGCGUUUCUACCUCAGCAAAGCAGACGAAGCCGGGAGGGAGAUGAACAGACAGGUCAGUUACUCUUUGAUGUCCAUUAAACCUGUAUCUAGAUCUCUAGAUCCCUCUGCUGUCCAUGCAGGGACUGGAUCGAUGUCUGUAAAGAAACGUGUUUAUGCUAGUUGGUUCAGAACUGGGUGGUAUUACAUUUUAAGUGAUAAUGCCAGAGAAGCCAAUGUUUGGAGGAUAUAUUGGCACGGGUGUUGUUAUUAUAUUGGCCGGCAAACCAUGCCAAUAUAUCCUCCAAACACCUGCUUUGAGGCAUGGUGUAAAUGUAAUAUUCUUUACAUACUAUACUGUUUAAUUAGACAUACUAUGCUCUUUUUACUUAGAGAAUUGUCCAUUGUUAUGUGUUAAUAUUUUUUGCUGUUUUUAAUUGUAUUUAUUUUUAAUUUCACCUUUAUUUAACCAGGUAGGCCAGUUGAGAACAAGUUCUCAUUUACAACUGCAACCAGGCCAAGAUAAAGCAAAGCAGUGUGACAAAAACAACAACACAGAGUUACACAUGGGAUAAACAAAUGUACAGUCAAUAACACAAUAGAAAAAUCUGAAUACAGUGUGUGCAAAUUAAGUAAGGAGGUAAGGCAAUAAAUAGGCCAAUAGUGGCGAAGUAAUUACAGGCUUGUCUUGUGUGGCUUAGUCAUAAGACUGGGCUUACAGCUAAGAGCCAUUUGGGUGCGACCGCAGCAUGUGACAUCCCAUGGGUUUACUAUCUACAGGAAGUCACAUGUAUGGAAACUUGCAGAAAGGAGCACAUGAUAUUGUUUUCUGUUGUGAAUACAGUUAGACGGUUGAGCCCUCUGGCUAUCAACUUCAUGCUAUCUUAAAUCUGCACAGACAACUAAUUGCCUUUUACACACUAUCUGCUGACUGGCACGUAUACAAAAAGGAUGUACUUCUCUAUAAAAGCUGAGAACCGACACUGUUCGUUGGGCCUGAACUGCCCAACUGUUGAAGUGCAUAGUUAACUGCUCAAAUUUUUGCUAAUCUUAUAAUAAAGUGUUGUUUGAAAGAAUCUGCAACCUCUCUUCCUUUUGGUUAGAAUUUCCACAACAAUUGGCGACGAGGAUGGGAUGCUAACUCCGCUUACUGAUCGUUCCCGAGGAGACCGAGGUUAAUUGCGCACAGUAGAUGCGGCUCAGGGUAACCACACUCAGAUUAAGCACAGCAGAAAGGGACCCGCCUCGGACUGGCAGGGAGCGUCAGACCUGAGCCCUAGGAUCAUGCCUCAGGACUACCUGGCCUGAUGACUCUUUGCUGUCCCCAGUCCACCUGGUCAUGCUGCUGCUCCAGUUUCAACUGUUCUGCCUGCGGCUAUGGAACCCUGACCUGUUCACCGGACGUGAAAAGCCAACUGACAUUUACUCCUGAGGUGCUGACCUGUUGCACCCUCUACAACCACUGUGAUUAUUAUUAUUUUACCCUGCUGGUCAUCUAUGAACAUUUGAACAUCUUGGCCAUGUUCUGUUAUAAUCUCCACCCGCUACAGCCAGAAGAGGACUGGCCACCCCUCAUAGCCUGGUUCCUCUCUAGGUUUCUUCCUAAGUUCCGGCCUUUCUAGGGAGUUUAUCCUAGCCACCGUGCUUCUACAUCUGCAUUGCUUGCUGUUUGGGGUUUUAGGCUGGGUUUCUGUACAGCACCUUGUGACAUCAGCUGAUGUAAGAAGGGCUUUAUAAAUACAUUUGAUUGAUUGAUUGAUUGAUUGACUAUCAAAUGCUUCUCAAAGAUGCUCUCUGGUGGUCAAACUAGCACCAACUUGCAUUAACAGAAAAAAUGGCUGACAAUUAAAUGAAGUGCCACAGAAUGCUGCGGUAGCCCGCAAGGUGUGCCGUAGUAUUACGCAACUUUUAAAGGAGGAACCACUGUAUGUCAUUCCGAACAUAGGAGUUAAGGGUGAGACUGAUUUUCUUAAACACAACCUCGAAUUGGUGAAAGUUAACUUUAAAAAAAAUCCUGUUCUAGGAAUAGGUCAUGCGUGUUAGAGAUGCCAGUCAGUGACUGGAUACGCCAUUCCGAACAUAGGAGUUAAGGGUGAGGCUGAUUUUUUUAAAAUACAACCUUGAAUUGGUGAAAGUUAACUUUAAAAAAAUCCUGUUCUAGGAACAGGUCAUGCGUGUUAGAGAUACCAGGACAAGUCCUGAUGAAAGCAAUUCAAGAAUAAGAUCCAGAGGUAUUAUAGAGAUACCAGGACAAAAGGCCUGAAGUAAUAUUCCAUAGGUUACGAUCGUAAGAUGUAGAUGCAUGAGCUAUAUUAAGAGAUAACAGGACAAGGUCCUGUUGAAAGUGUUCCAGGACUUGGUCCUGAAGAAUUAAAAAUGAUUCCUGCAGGUUAGAAAAACAUUGUAAAAAACAAUGAAUUAGUCAGUGUACUGGUAAAACAGUUGGUUAUAUUUGGGAAACCAGCUAUAAAUUUAAAUCCUACACGGAAAUGUGCAUAGGAACUACCAUGUGGGUACAACAUUUAAAAUUACAUUGAGUAAUGAAAAAAUAUUUUGAUGAAGAAGAAAUUACUAUUUUUAAAUUAUAAGAAAGGAAGAUGUUCCUAACCAAAUACUGUUUGUUUUGUUUUGUGUGUUUGUUUUUGUUUCCUGAGUGUGUGUGUAUUGACAAAAUAUUUAUAUUAUGUACAGACGAUGGACCCUAAUUUUGGUAAUAUGUGUUGUCAACAAUAGUGAUAUGUGAAGCAUGAUACUGGUAUAAGACAUUAGGUCUCCAAUAUUCUCAAGUAGUAAAUUGGCAGACGCUUCAGUAUUGGUUCUAUUAAAAGGCAGAAAUACCAUAACUACUCUCCGGGUAAGUGGGUAUCACUACCUUGGAAAAUUGUUAACAUUGGCUUAUAUUAAAACCAUGAGUGAGGAAAUCUGAAACUCUGGACACCAUUGAGAGAGGCGCAGAAAUAACUAUUGUAGAAGAGGUAAACUAUAGCAAAGCCACAGAGUCACUAAAAGAAGCGCAAGAGCAUUCUACCAAUUCGGCUCGAAUAUGGGAAAAAAAUCUAAUCAUGGAUAAAAUUGAGCAGCAUUUCCCUGCUGAUGGAAAAUUCCAAUCUAAUAAAGUAUUCAGAGAUGCUAUUGUGAAUUGGUACAAUUAUAUAAAAGGAAAAUCAGAAGCUCAAUACACCAGCAUUUUGAUGUUAGCGUUCUAUCAACAAAAAAAGAAAAACCAAUAAAACCAAGAUUAGUAUAUGUACUCAGUAUAACUGCACUAUUUGUGAAUUAAAUUGAGUAUGUAGUGUGCAUAUUGGUCUGAAGAUACAAAUU
rnacentral:lncRNA from 1 species